GUUUGGGGGUGGAUCUAAUGUCGUUUUUAAGCGGGCUCAGAAAGUUAAGUAACAUUCUGGAAGGAAGUAUGGUUGGGUGACCAGUCGUUGUGCAGCAGGUACACACUUUUAUAUGCGCUGGAACGCCGCAAAUCAGCGUGUCUACAAGAGCGGAUGGGGGGUAGAAAAUGGACAACUAACGCUGCAUCUCCAAUGGUCUAGGCUGCAACUUAACCCGUCUGAACUGGCUGAGUUGUCGGACUUAACCUAUGCAGCGAAUGCGGUCUCUUUUGAGGUGGGUCCAGACAGAUGGAUAUGGUAUCCGGAAUCCUCCGGGUUAUUUACAGUUCGUAACAUCAGGAAGAUAAUCGAGGAAAAGUCGUUUCCAAAUGACGGUUUCAGGUUCUUUUGGAACAGAUGGGUGCCGCUAAAAAUAAAUUUAUUGGUUUGGAGGCUUGUUUUGGAUAGACUACCAACAACAACGAAUCUUAGUAGAAGAAAUGUCCAAAUUCCAGCCCUUGAUUGCAAGAUCUGCCAUGACGGGGACGAAACAGCGAGCCAACUUUUUUUUCAUGCAGACUGGCUCAAAGUCUAUGGGAUUUUGUCGCUGAAUGGUGCAAGUUGGGAUCAAUAUUCGUGCUACAUCUGAAGGAUUUUGUGUAUCUGCAUCAGUGCUACUGCGGAUCUAAAAAAUAGAAACAGGUUAUGAUCUCAAUCAUUCAGAUUAUGCUAUUGUUUAUAUGGAGAAACAUGAAUGAUGUUUUUAAUAGGAAGCAAACGAAUCUGACACGUCUGAAGGAGGAAGUUAACACGCUUGGGUUUCUUUGGAUAAAAAAUAGGGCAAAGUGCAACGCUUUAAGUAUCUGUUUUUUAUCAGUAACACUCGGCAAAAAAUGGAAAAAGCGAAGAAAAUAACACUUUUGUUGAGAUCGAAUGAUAAAGGGGCAACAAAACUGCCAGAUGAUAAGGAAGGUGAUGAUAAGGAAGGUGAAUACAAAAGUGUUAAGUGAAAAGCCAAAGAAGUUACGGCAGGAUAAAGAAAUACAAGGAAUAGGACAAGUAGACGAAUGCACGAUGUGAUGGAUCUUAUGUGAUGGAUGAUAAGGGCGACAAGACAGUGGAAAACAUUAAUGAAAAUUAUGGUUGUUUUUUGUAUGAUGGUUUAUAUGUUAGUUAUUUUCUUUUAACGAUAAUUUAUGUUUGUUUAUUGGACGAUGACAACUAUGUGAUUGUUAAUUCCAUAAUUUGAUGUAAUAUGGUAUAGUAUAUGUUGGAAAUGCACAUGUGCAUAAGGUGAAUUAGUAUGCAUAGUGGUGAUAUAUGAUGUAUUACCGGAUGA